rnacentral:rRNA from 1 species
UACGUAGGUGGCAAGCGUUGUCCGGAUUUACUGGGCGUAAAGAGCGCGCAGGCGGUCGUUCAAGUCGCGUGUGAAAGCCCCCGGCUCAACUGGGGAGGGUCACGCGAUACUGAUCGACUCGAAGGCAGGAGAGGGUAGUGGAAUUCCCGGUGUAGUGGUGAAAUGCGCAGAUAUCAGGAGGAACACCGAUGGCGAAGGCAGAUCUCUGGGCCGUUACUGACGCUGAGGAGCGAAAGCGUGGGAGCGAACAGG